rnacentral:rRNA from 1 species
GAACGCUAGCGGCAGGCUUAACACAUGCAAGUCGAGGGGCAGCAGGGUAGCAAUACCGCUGGCGACCGGCAAACGGGUGCGGAACACGUACAGAAUCUACCUUUAUCUGGGGCAUAGCCCGGAGAAAUUCGGAUUAACACCCCAUAAGAUAUUAGAGUGGCAUCACUCAGAUAUUAAAUCUCCGGAGGAUAGAGAUGACUGUGCGUCCCAUUAGCUAGUUGGUAGGGUAACGGCCUACCAAGGCGACGAUGGGUAGCUGGUGUGAGAGCACGACCAGCCACACGGGCACUGAGACACGGGCCCGACUCCUACGGGAGGCAGCAGUGAGGAAUAUUGGGCAAUGGACGCAAGUCUGACCCAGCCAUGCCGCGUGAAGGAUGAAGGCGUUCUGCGUUGUAAACUUCUUUUAUUAGGGAAGAAACCUCCGUUUUCUAAUGGAGCCGACGGUACCUAACGAAUAAGCACCGGCUAACUCCGUGCCAGCAGCCGCGGUAAUACGGAGGGUGCAAGCGUUAUCCGGAUUCACUGGGUUUAAAGGGUGUGUAGGCGGAUAUUUAAGUCAGUGGUGAAAUCUCCAGGCUCAACCUGGAAACUGCCAUUGAUACUAUUUAUCUUGAAUUCUGUUGAGGUGGGCGGAAUACAUCAUGUAGCGGUGAAAUGCUUAGAUAUGAUGUAGAACACCGAUUGCGAAGGCAGCUCACUAAGCAGACAUUGACGCUGAGCACGAAAGCGUGGGGAUCAAAC